rnacentral:lncRNA from 1 species
GGUCUCUAUUUUAAGCUGGGGAAGCUUAGAUGUGGAGGGGUUAAGUAGUUCCACACUCUUGUAUAGCUCAUUCUUCUUUCCCAGUUGGUCUGUAGAGCAUACAGCCUGGAAUUUUCUUCGUGGAGCAAGUCUCCAGGUGUCUGCUGCCUGUAGUUCUGGGAUUUCCUUAUUCCUGAAGAACCUGGCAUUUGUGAGCUGGAGGGAAACUGGACCAGGAGACUCAUUGUGAUCAGUCCUUUCUGAUUGAAGGAGCCCAUGUUCCCAGGAGAAUGAACUCGGCAGUGGUGUUCAAGUGGUUCGAGUGGUUCUAAACAAGCUACUGGGACACAGGGCACUCCAUUUAAUGUCCCCUCAAGGUGAGAGGCCUCUCUGCAGAGGGCACCGAUGCCCCUGCCUCCAGACAGAGCACAUUAUGAUCUGAACCUUUGUUCUGCAAGCUGAUCUAGGCCACUGUGUUCCCAAGGUGGGGAUUCAGGGGUAUCAGUAACUCCCUUACCUAAUUAGAAGGGUCACGGGCUCACCAAAUGACCUUAUCACUCUUAAACUUGAUAUUUGG